GGAGGCAGCAGUAGGGAAUAUUGCACAAUGGAGGAAACUCUGAUGCAGCGACGCCGCGUGAGUGAUGAAGGCCUUCGGGUCGUAAAGCUCUGUCGCAGGGGAAUAACACAAUGAAGGUACCCUGUAAGAAAGGAUCGGCUAACUUCGUGCCAGCAGCCGCGGUAAGACGAGGGAUCCUAGC
rnacentral:rRNA from 1 species